rnacentral:rRNA from 1 species
UACGUAGGGUGCAAGCGUUGUCCGGAAUUAUUGGGCGUAAAGAGCUCGUAGGCGGUUUGUCGCGUCUGCUGUGAAAACCCGGGGCUCAACCCCGGGCCUGCAUUCGAUACGGGCGGACUAGAGUUCGGUAGGGGAGACUGGAAUUCCUGGUGUAGCGGUGAAAUGCGCAGAUAUCAGGAGGAACACCGGUGGCGAAGGCGGGUCUCUGGGCCGAUACUGACGCUGAGGAGCGAAAGCGUGGGGAGCAAACAGG